GAUGAACGCUGGCGGCGUGCCUAAUACAUGCAAGUCGAGCGAACAGACGAGGAGCUUGCCCCCCUGCCGUUAGCGGCGGGAGGGUGAGUAAAACGUGGAUAACCCACCUAUUAGACUGGGAUAAAUCAGGGAAAACGGAGCUAAUACCGGGUAAUAUAUUGAACCGCAUGGUUCAAUAGAGAAAAAAGGUGUUGCCGUCACUUAUGCUAGGAUCCGAGCCGCAUUAGCCGGUUGGUUAGGUAAUGGGUUACCAAGGGAACGAUCGUUAGCCGACCCGAGAGGGUGACCGCCCAAACUGGAACUGGAACAGGGCCCAGCCUCCUAGGGGAGGCAGCGUGAGGGAAUUUUCCGCAAUGGGCGAAAGCUUGACGGGGCAACGCGGCGGGGGUGAGGAAGGUUUUCGGAUCUUAAGACUUUGUUAUUAGGGAAGAACAAAUGUGUAAGUAACUAUGCACGUCUUGACGGUACCUAAUCAGAAAGCCACGGCUAACUACGUG
rnacentral:rRNA from 1 species